UACGUAGGGCGCAAGCGUUGUCCGGAAUUAUUGGGCGUAAAGAGCUCGUAGGCGGACUGUCACGUCUGCUGUGAAAAGCUGGGGCUUAACCCUGGCCUUGCAGUGGAUACGGGCAGACUAGAGGUAGGUAGGGGAGAAUGGAAUUCCCGGUGUAGCGGUGAAAUGCGCAGAUAUCGGGAGGAACACCGGUGGCGAAGGCGGUUCUCUGGGCCUUACCUGACGCUGAGGAGCGAAAGCGUGGGGAGCAAACAGG
rnacentral:rRNA from 1 species